GGUUGUCGAAACCGUCAAAAAUAAACCUAUUAUCAACCAACAAAAUAAAUUUGUAGAUAGUGGCAAUAGGGUCGAACCACAGGGAAUUGGCACUAAAGAUCUUCCUAAUAAUAACCAAGAUAAGUAAAUAACAAAUAAUUAAAAGAGGGGGGUUUGAGUUGAUGAAUUAAAACUAAAUAGCAAAAGAAAGAAAUAAUUUAAAGAUGAGUAAAUCAAUAAGAGAAAAGCUUCUAGUUGAAGUAUGGUUCUAUUUCAGAUUGUUUAGAAUUGAUCAUUGAUUCUUUAAUACUCCUAUUUAUCUCAAUAAAUUAGUUUUGGAUGUGGAAGACGCUUCUCACAAUCCAAAUUCCUCCUUAGUUCUAGUUUGAUUAGGAAACGUUCGCUAAUCAAACACUAGUUAACAAGUUGCCAAGGAACGUCCUUGGGGCAUUAUAGCAUCGAACAACUGUUAACUGCAUUAAGACUUAGAGAAACCUAAUUCUAACCUUGCCAACCGCGUGGUCAAGUCUAGAUCAUGCAAUUUGAUUAAAUGUGUAUUUGAACAACCUAAGCAAUUACGGACCUAAAUCAUUCAAAUAAUAUUACUUAAGCAAUUUAAAAACAAUGGGCCCUUAUUGAUUCUAAAAGCAAAGUAAUAAUUAUGGAAAGCUCAAAUUGCAUAAAUAUUGAAAAGAAAUAGAAGUUUAACAAUGGAGAUUUAAAUCUCCCAAUUCAUCACACAAAUCUGAAAUUCACCAACUUCAACUAGAAAAGAAGGAAAUUAGCCACUCAUGGUGGACUAAGUACACAAAAGAUGAAAAGAAAGGAAAAAGGAAGAUGCUGGAGAGUUUCUGGCGAGUUGAGUUGCUGAUCAGAACCUCCUUUUGCUGGUUUGGAAGCUCUCCUUUUAUAGCUGCAGAAUUUCUCUCCAUCUAGGGUUUUGAAAUCCCUCUUUGAUUUGGUGUUUGACUCCUCUUUUGAUGUUGAUUUUAAUUGCAAUUGGAAUUCCUUGGAUGAGAGACUCUUUCGUGGCUCUUGGUUUUGUGUUGGAAGUGAUUGGAUUGGAUUUGGACUUCUGAAAAUUCGGAUUUCUGUUUUCUGCCCAUUUUCCCGCUCUGCUGUAAGUUUCUGCUGUCAAAGUGAUUUGCCCGGUGAUUUGAGUAUUUUGGGCAAAUCACUGCCCCAAUCACUUCUCUGUGAGUCAGUCCUCUAUGUCUCUGCGAGUGAUUUGGCCAGUGAUCUUCGAGUUUCUUGGGCAAAUCACUUGCCAUAUCACUACUGCCUGUUGCCUCCGGGUUUCUGCUUCAGCUUGAUCUGGGCAGUGAUUGGAGCAGAUUAUCUGGUGAUCUUGGGCAAAUCACUGGGCAAAUCAUCCUUUUGUAAAUUUUCUGCACUUUUUCUCCAAUUUUCCAAUUUCUUCCUUUUAUGUAAAAACAAGAUAAAAACCAUAAAUUAAACUGAAAAAUGUGUAAAUAAGCAAUAAUAAUUAUGAUAAAAAUGUGGCUAAAUUAUGCUUGAUCAAC
rnacentral:lncRNA from 1 species